rnacentral:rRNA from 1 species
UACGAAGGGGGCUAGCGUUGUUCGGAAUUACUGGGCGUAAAGCGCGCGCAGGCGGUUUCUCAAGUCAGUGGUGAAAGCCCGGAGCUCAACUCCGGAACUGCCAUUGAAACUGUGAGACUUGAGGACGAGAGAGGUGAGUGGAAUUCCCAGUGUAGAGGUGAAAUUCGUAGAUAUUGGGAAGAACACCGGUGGCGAAGGCGACCAUCUGGACGACAACUGACGCUGAGGCGCGAAAGCGUGGGGAGCAAACAGG